ACGCGCAGGCGGUGAUUUAAGCAGGAUGUGAAAGGCUACGGCUCAACCGUAGACAUGCACCCUGAACUGGGUCACUUGAGUAUUGGAGAGGCAGGCAGAAUCCCUGGUGUAGCGGUGAAAUGCGUAGAUAUCAGGAGGAAUACCGGAGGCGAAGGCGGCCUGCUGGACAAAUACUGACGCUGAGGCGCGAAGCUGGGAGCAAACA
rnacentral:rRNA from 1 species